rnacentral:rRNA from 1 species
CCUACGGGUGGCAGCAGUGAGGAAUAUUGGUCAAUGGACGAGAGUCUGAACCAGCCAAGUAGCGUGAAGGAUGACCGCCCUAUGGGUUGUAAACUUCUUUUAUAUGGGAAUAAAACGUUCCACGUGUGGGAUUUUGUAUGUACCAUAUGAAUAAGGAUCGGCUAACUCCGUGCCAGCAGCCGCGGUAAUACGGAGGAUCCGAGCGUUAUCCGGAUUUAUUGGGUUUAAAGGGAGCGUAGGUGGAUUGUUAAGUCAGUUGUGAAAGUUUGCGGCUCAACCGUAAAAUUGCAGUUGAAACUGGCAGUCUUGAGUACAGUAGAGGUGGGCGGAAUUCGUGGUGUAGCGGUGAAAUGCUUAGAUAUCACGAAGAACUCCGAUUGCGAAGGCAGUUCACUGGACUGCAACUGACACUGAGGCUCGAAAGUGUGGGUAUCAAACAGGAUUAGAUACCCCAGUAGUC